rnacentral:rRNA from 2 species
UGCCAGUGAUAAACUGGAGGAAGGUGGGGAUGACGUCAAGUCAUCAUGGCCCUUACGAGUAGGGCUACACACGUGCUACAAUGGCAUAUACAAAGAGAAGCGACCUCGCGAGAGCAAGCGGACCUCAUAAAGUAUGUCGUAGUCCGGAUUGGAGUCUGCAACUCGACUCCAUGAAGUCGGAAUCGCUAGUAAUCGUGGAUCAGAAUGCCACGGUGAAUACGUUCCCGGGCCUUGUACACACCGCCCGUCACACCAUGGGAGUGGGUUGCAAAAGAAGUAGGUAGCUUAACCUUCGGGAGGGCGCUUACCACUUUGUGAUUCAUGACUGGGGUGAAGUCGUAACAAGGUAACCGUAGGGGAACCUGCGGUUGGAUCACCUCCUUA